rnacentral:rRNA from 1 species
UACAGAGGUGGCAAGCGUUGUUCGGAAUUACUGGGCGUAAAGGGCGCGUAGGCGGCCAUGUAAGUCCUGUGUGAAAUCCCCCGGCUCAACUGGGGAACUGCACAGGAGACUGCUUGGCUUGAGUUCGGGAGAGGGAAGCGGAAUUCCGGGUGUAGCGGUGAAAUGCGUAGAUAUCCGGAGGAACACCGGUGGCGAAGGCGGCUUCCUGGACCGACACUGACGCUGAGGCGCGAAAGCCAGGGGAGCAAACGGGAUUAGAUACCCCGGUAGUCCUGGCUGUAAACGAUGAGCGCUGGGUGUAGGGGGUAUUGACCCCCCCUGUGCCGAAGCUAACGCAUUAAGCGCUCCGCCUGGGGAGUACGGUCGCAAGGCUGAA